rnacentral:rRNA from 1 species
UACGUAGGGUGCGAGCGUUGUCCGGAAUUAUUGGGCGUAAAGGGCUCGUAGGCGGUUUGUUGCGUCGGCUGUGAAAUCCCGAGGCUCAACCUCGGGUCUGCAGUCGAUACGAGCAAACUAGAGUGUUGCAGGGGAGACUGGAAUUCCUGGUGUAGCGGUGAAAUGCGCAGAUAUCGGGAAGAACACCUAUGGCGAAGGCAGCUCUCUGGGACGGUACUGACGCUGAGACGCGAAAGCGUGGGGAGCGAACAGG